AUUGAACGCUGGCGGCAGGCCUAACACAUGCAAGUCGAGCGAGCGGCGGACGGGUGAGUAAUGUAUGGGGACUGCCCGAUAGAGGGGGAUAACUCCUGGAAACGGUGGCUAAUACCGCAUACUAUCGGAUAACCCAUAUGGGAUUAGCUAGUGGGGGGGGUAAAGGCUCACCUAGGCGACGAUCUCUAGCUGGUCUGAGAGGAUGAUCAUGCACACUGGGACUGAGACAGGGCCCAGACUCCUACGGAGGCAGAAGUGGGGAAUAUUGCACAAUGGGCGCAAGCCUGAUGCAGCCAUGCCGCGUGGAUGAAGAAGGCCUUAGGGUUGUAAAGUACUUUCAGUCGGGAGGCGUGACCGACAGAAGAAGCACCGGCUAACUCCGUGCCAGCAGCCGCGGUAAUAC
rnacentral:rRNA from 1 species